GUAGUUUGACUCCGUGGCACAGAACGACGCUGGCGGCAGGCUUAACACAUGCAAGUCGAACGCCCCGCAAGGGGAGUGGCAGACGGGUGAGUAACGCGUGGGAAUCUACCUAGUUCUACGGAACAACAGUUGGAAACGACUGCUAAUACCGUAUACGCCCUACGGGGGAAAGAUUUAUCGGAAUUAGAUGAGCCCGCGUAAGAUUAGCUAGUUGGUGGGGUAAUGGCCUACCAAGGCGACGAUCUUUAGCUGGUCUGAGAGGAUGAUCAGCCACACUGGGACUGAGACACGGCCCAGACUCCUACGGGAGGCAGCAGUGGGGAAUAUUGGACAAUGGGCGCAAGCCUGAUCCAGCCAUGCCGCGUGAGUGAUGAAGGCCUUAGGGUUGUAAAGCUCUUUCACCGAUGAGGAUAAUGACGGUAGUCGGAGAAGAAGCCCCGGCUAACUUCGUG
rnacentral:rRNA from 1 species